CUUCCACUUUGUGAAGGAGCAUCACUGCUGCAAAGAAUCACCCAGGUGGCUCUGGAUUAAAACAACUCUUGUCCCAGUGGAUAACACACAUCUGAAGCUCCAUGUAAGGUGGUUUUAAUUACAUAAAGCAGACAUCCAAAGCCAGGAAUUUAUCAGCAUGCGGCCCAGAAGUGUGGGGAAAAGAAAAAAAAAACACAGACCACUGAUAAACAUCAUGAACUGUCUGUUCACAGUGUUGGAAGCAAGACCAACAUCAUCUUCGUCAAACAUCCUAUCUGAGCUUCUGAACUGCUGGUAAUCUCUGUGUGAACCACUGCCAGAAAAUGAGUCCU